CAGGGAAUAGUUUAUAUAAAAUAUUAAUUUUGGAGAUUAAUGAAGAAAUCAAAAUCUUCCUUGA
rnacentral:tRNA from 1 species